GAUGAAGAACGUAGCGAAAUGCGAUAAGUAAUGUGAAUUGCAGAAUUCAGUGAAUCAUCGAAUCUUUGAACGCACAUUGCGCCCUCUGGUAUUCCGGGGGGCAUGCCUGUUCGAGCGUCAUUAUAACCACUCAAGCUCUCGCUUGGUAUUGGGGUUCGCGGUUUCGCGGCCCCUAAAAUCAGUGGCGGUGCCUGUCGGCUCUACGCGUAGUAAUACUUCUCGCGAUUGAGUUCGAUAGGUCUACUUGCCAGUAACCCCCAAUUUUUACAGGUUGACCUCGGAUCAGGUAGGGAUACCCGCUGAACUUAAGCGUAUCAAUAAGCGGAGGA
rnacentral:misc_RNA from 1 species